rnacentral:rRNA from 1 species
UCAAGCUACAAAGGGCUGACGGUGGAUACCUAGGCACACAGAGGCGAAGAAGGACGUGGCGACCGACGAAACGCUCCGGGGAGCUGGAAGCAAGCAUAGAGCCGGAGAUAUCCGAAUGGGGCAACCCAGAAACAACUGGUUGAAUCCAUAGACCAGUAUGAGCGAACCGGGCGAAUUGAAACAUCUUAGUAGCCCGAGGAAGAGAAAGCAAGUAAGCGAUUUCCCAAGUAGUGGUGAGCGAACGGGAAACAGCCUAAACCAGAGGUUUUCACCUCUGGGGUCGUGGGACAGCACAACUGGACUCUCAAGACUAGACGAAGCCGCUGAAAACGGCACCAAAGAAGGUGAAAGUCCUGUAGUCGAAAGUUAAAAGAGCCAAGCUGUAUCCCGAGUAGCGCGGAGCCCGUGAAAGUCCGCGUGAAUCAGCGAGGACCACCUCGUAAGGCUAAAUACUCCUGUGUGACCGAUAGUGAACCAGUACCGCGAGGGAAAGGUGAAAAGAACCCCGAUGAGGGGAGUGAAAUAGAACCUGAAACCGUCAGCUUACAAGCAAUGGAAGGACGAUUCAACGUCUGACCGUGUGCCUGUUGAAGCAUGAGCCGGCGAGUUAUAAGCUCUGGUAGGUUAAGACAAUCAUUGUCGAAGCCAAAGCGAAAGCGAGUCUGAAUAGGGCGAAUGAAUCAGAGUUUAUAGACCCGAACCCGGGUGAUCUAACCAUGUCCAGGAUGAAGCUUGGGUAACACCAAGUGGAGGUCCGCACCGACCGAUGUUGAAAAAUCGGCGGAUGAGGUGUGGUUAGGGGUGAAAUGCCAAUCGAACCCGGAGCUAGCUGGUUCUCCCCGAAAUGCGUUGAGGCGCAGCGGCGGAAGUUUAACUGGGGGGGUAAAGCACUGUUUCGGUGCGGGCUGCGAGAGCGGUACCAAAUCGAGACAAACUCUGAAUACUCCAGGUCAAAUCCGCUAGUGAGACGGUGGGGGAUAAGCUUCAUCGUCAAGAGGGAAACAGCCCAGACCGCCAGCUAAGGUCCCCAAAUGGUGGCUAAGUGAAAAAGGAGGUGGGAGUGCAUUGACAACCAGGAGGUUUGCCUAGAAGCAGCCACCCUUGAAAGAGUGCGUAAUAGCUCACUGGUCAAGCGCUCCUGCGCCGAAAAUGAAUGGGGCUAAGCCAUCUACCGAAGCUGCGGACAAGAAGAUUCAGCUUUCGUUACUCAUCCUGUGAUUGUUCAAAGGAUGAAUGACGAAAGAGAAAAUUCUUUUGGUAGGGGAGCGUUCUGCAGAGCGUGAGAAGCACUAGCGGCAAGCAGGUGUGGACGCAGCAGAAGUGAGAAUGUCGGCUUGAGUAGCGCAAAUGUGGGUGAGAAUCCCACACCCCGAAACCCCAAGGGUUCCAGAGGCAGGCUCGUCCGCUCUGGGUGAGUCAGGACCUAAGGCGAGGCUGAAAAGCGUAGUCGAUGGACAACGGGUCAACAUUCCCGUACUGAGUUGGGUUAGUGCAGAGGGACGGAGAAGGCAAUCGCCAGCCGGAAGUUGGUUACCGGUGCAAGCGUACGAGGUGAUGAGGGACGGAGAAAACGUCCUGAGCUGAGUCGCGAGUCCGACUGACUAAGGUCAGGAAGUGGUAGAGGUCAGGCUCCCAAGAAAAGCUCUAAACACGUUAAACCCAAAUUACCUGUACCCGAAACCGACACAGGUGGGGGGGUUGAGUAAACCAAGGGGCGCGAGAUAACUCUCUCUAAGGAACUCGGCAAAAUGGCCCCGUAACUUCGGAAGAAGGGGUGCCAGAGCAAUCUGGUCGCAGUGAAGAGUCCCAGGCGACUGUUUACCAAAAACACAGGUCUCCGCAAAGUCGCAAGACGAGGUAUGGGGGCUGACGCCUGCCCAGUGCCGGAAGGUUAAGGAAGUCGGUUAGGAGCAAUCCGAAGCUGGCGACUCAAGCCCCGGUGAACGGCGGCCGUAACUAUAACGGUCCUAAGGUAGCGAAAUUCCUUGUCGGGUAAGUUCCGACCCGCACGAAAGGCGUAACGAUCUGGGAGCUGUCUCGGAGAGAGACUCGGCGAAAUAGAAAUGUCUGUGAAGAUACGGACUACCUGCACCUGGACAGAAAGACCCUAUGAAGCUUUACUGUAGCCUGGAAUUGGGUUCGGGCUCCGCUUGCGCAGGAUAGGUGGGAGGCGUAGAAGUUUUCCUUGUGGGGAGAAUGGAGCCAUCAGUGAGAUACCACUCUAGCGGAGCUAGAAUUCUAACCUUAACCCUUACAUCAGGGAAAGAGACAGUUUCAGGGGGGCAGUUUGACUGGGGCGGUCGCCUCCUAAAAGGUAACGGAGGCGCACAAAGGUUCCCUCAGGCUGGUUGGAAAUCAGCCUUUUGAGCGCAAAGGCAUAAGGGAGCUUGACUGCAAGACCGACAAGUCGAGCAGGGUGGAAACACGGUCUUAGUGAUCCGACGGUGCCGAGUGGAAGGGCCGUCGCUCAACGGAUAAAAGUUACUCUAGGGAUAACAGGCUGAUCUCCCCCAAGAGUCCACAUCGACGGGGAGGUUUGGCACCUCGAUGUCGGCUCAUCGCAACCUGGGGCGGAAGUACGUCCCAAGGGUUGGGCUGUUCGCCCAUUAAAGCGGUACGUGAGCUGGGUUCAGAACGUCGUGAGACAGUUCGGUCCAUAUCCGGUGCAGGCGCAAGAGCAUUGAGAGGAGUCCUCCCUAGUACGAGAGGACCGGGAGGGACGCACCUCUGGUGUACCUGUUAUCGUGCCAACGGUAGACGCAGGGUAGCCAUGUGCGGAGCGGAUAACCGCUGAAAGCAUCUAAGUGGGAAGCCCACCUCAAGAUGAUUGCUCUCACUACAUAAGUAGGUAAGGUCACGGGCAGAACACCCGUUAAUAGGCGUUAGGUGGAAGUGCAGCAAUGUAUGCAGCCGAGACGCACUAACAGACCGAGGGCUUGACCU